AAUUUCCAUCCGCGUAAUUUGUGUCUGUUAUUCUGACUUCCCGUGUCGAAUAUUCAUCGUUCGUGCAGUCGUUGUUCUACUACGCCACGGUUCAGUAAUCCGGUUUCGCCGUGCCAAUUCGAUUUCUGCCGCGUUCAGUUUAUAGCAACGCGUUUAAAACAACGUUUAAGUAUGAGCGCUUCACGCACACGCGAAACCGAAGAGAAAACAAAUUUUUUUUACGGUAGUCGAUCUCCGAAGUUGAAGUGUUUUAAUUUUAGUAGGUCUUUGCCGAAAAAAAGUUCGGUCGUCCCUGAUAUACACCGUUAAAAAAAUAACUACAGCAUAUUCGAAAAGUUUUCCA